UUCACAGCCACCUCAUCUUGCACCGUAGGCUACUGCCCCUUGCCUGUCACUCACGUUUUUGCUGUAUGGUGGAAAAUACCUCCGUGAGUUUGUUCGUAAGUGCUGUCACGACCGUUUUCCUGAAACUGAACUAUGAGGUCUGGCCUGGUAGGAAGUUCCUGAUGAUGUUUCCCCCUCAUAAUGACCCAACAGCACGUGUUAACCAUCUAGUAACUAUCACAGCUGCUGGUGUUGGGACCUCAGUCACUGAAGGUUCUGGAAAGCAGCUUCAUGCAACGCAUCUUCCUCUCUGCUUGCCAUGCAAAGAUGACUGACCUGCCAAAGUCUGUGGGAAUGCACAGUGAUCGCUCCUCCUAUCUCCUCAGUGUGAACUCUAUAUGGCCUUUUACAGUCCUUCGUCUCAUUCUGGACCCCCACUGGUUGUGACCACAGCCUCCUUCAUGAUAUGUCCUCCUGGGUGACCCACUACUAUCCCAUUAAUCUUCACUUCCCUAACCAGGCUGCUGUCAGUCAGAUGGUGAUCACAAGCUCAGACCAUGAGACAUCAGUGGAUAUCUUCCUCUCAGGGGAAGUGCUCUUUAAAGGCAAUACGUACUCCAGGCGUAGUGUCCUUAAGGUGCUGGGGGGCUGCAGAGUGUUUAUCUCCAGAGCAACUCCAGCCUCUCUGACUCAGAGUUGAACUCCCAUGAAGCUGUACGUGUUGAGGUUGGUUUUACCUGCUCCAAACACACAUCUGGGGAUUGCUUGUAUGGAUUUGCUGAACUGAAACCAGUCCCUCACUGGAGUUUUGAUUACAUUAUCCCGCCCUUGAUAAACACAGGAAUGAGUUCCAGUUUCCAGUUGGCAAUAGCUACUAUCAACUCUGACCUGGAUAUCACCACCAGAACCUGGCGAAAGACUGUGAGUCUUGGUUAGUUGGUAGAGUUAUGAAAGUCAUCCCAGUUGUGACCUCGGACAAAAUCCACAUUACUAGUCAAAGUCCCAUUGGACUUGUUUACAUCAGACGUUACAAUGAACAGCAUCCUUCUACUCAGUUCAGUCUGCCUGUCUAGAUGUAAAUGCUUAAUAUAAUAUAGCCAGAGCAUAUUUGAACAGUGCCACAGUCUCCACCAUCUACACACUGCAGAUAAGCAUCCAGGGCUUUAAUAUUUCCAUAGUUAAAGAAGACAAAAAUCAUGUUAGGGUUAACUGGCAGAUGAGGAACUUGCCCCUCAACCUGGGUCUCUGAACUUUUAUCCAAGUGGCUCCAGCAUUGUCUUAGACACUGCCUUUGGCAUGGCUCUUCACUAGGACAGCACAAUCUCCAGGUUGAAGUUGGCCCAGAGCUGUAUGGAGUCCUGUGCGGUUUGUAUCAAAAAACUAAUCACAGCUCCUCAGAUUGCAUCAUUGCCUCUAGUGGCACUGAUGAGACCCAGGGUAUGGAUUCUACCCUCCCAUGGUUGGUGAGAAAUUAUGCAGGCUCCUGUAUUCCUGGCAUUAAUGGCAAGUCCUUCUGGACUGGGUGCACCCUACUGCAGAGGAGUGGUGGACCUUUUACAGAUUGUCACUCAUAUAUUGAUCCUGAGCCAUUUGUUUGUAGUUGUGUGAACCUUUGUGUCAAUAAAGUUGCCUCUUCUAUGUGCAAGAUCUUGACAGCUUAUGCCAACAAGCUGGGGUAGUGAUAGUGCAGUAGAUAAGACACAUGCCUUUGGUGUGAGAGACCUCCAGAGGAGUGCGACCUCAGACGUACAUAGUAAUUGUAAGUCACUUUCGAUAAAAGUGUCAGCUGAAUGUAUGUAAUGUGCCAGAGGCUUGGGAUCAAAGUCCAAAACUGGCAAUCUAUUGACACGUGCCGUGAGUUGUUAAGUUGAUAACAUGGUUUGCUGAAAAACCUCACUAAGAGUAUGUUCCUUUCACAACUAUGAACAACCACUAUGAGAUCUGUGGUUCUGCCUGCCUUGCUACCUGCAGUAUCUCCCCAAGGAGAACUCCUGGAUCGACGAACAGUGCCAGGAGAAAUGUGUCUGCCAGCUUGACUCCAGGAUGGUUAUGUGUGCUCAAUCUCAUUGCCUGGAUGGUAAAGUGUGUCCUGGGGCUGUCACAUGGAUGGGCCUGGGGUGUGUAUAGCCAGAGGAGAUCUCCAUUUUACCACCUUUGAUGGGCGUAACUUUGAUGUCUAUGGCAACUGUACUUACCUACUCGCUUCUCACUGUCCUACCUGGGAAGACCUGGGUGUGGAGGUCCAGAACCAGAAAAGGGGUGCUGCAAAUGUUUCCUUUCAGCAUGUUAAAAUGGUGGUCUCUGGUUAUUCCGUUAAGAUGUCAAAUGAUUGCAGUAACAGGGUUAUGGUAGGUUCAUUUAUUUGCCACAAUAAAUCUAGACAAACUAUGAUUUGUCCACUUGCAAUGUUAACAUCACUGCACUUGUCUCAGGUAAAUGGUCUGCUACUGCAUCUUCCAUCUGUGUUGAGCCAAGGCAAAGUAAAGCUCUACAUGACUGGACUCUCAAAGUGUAUAGACUGACUAAACAUGAAUGUGUAGAUGUGCCUAUGAACACCUCUGGUUGCAAUUCACAAGAUAUGGCUCUUUAUGAGAGAAAAGACUUCUGUGGACAGUUACUGGAUACAGAGGGAGCAUUCCAGAGCUGUCACGGAACAGUUGAUCUGCAAGAUUUCUGUGAUAACUGUGUUAAUGACCUCUGUAAUAGUAACCAGACCAUUCUGUGUCAGAUUCUGUCCAGUUAUGUUGCUGUAUGUCAAGAAAUAGGAGCUAUAGUGGAUGAAUGGAGGGCUUCCAAAUUUUACAGCAAGUAACCAUAGUGAAAUCUUUUUUUUCUUUUUGUUAAACGUGUACAGAAUGGAAAUAUUUUUUUAAUGAAAUUGUUUCAUCUCUGUCCUUAGAGCUCUCCUGCCCACUUAAUAAUGAAUACCACCUCUGCUCCAGUCACGUGUCUGACUGUGUAGAAAACCCAAGUCUUGUAGCAGUGAAAUGCAAAGAGGGUUGUUUCUGCAAACCUGCGUUUUUCCACAGAGGUGGGGAAUGUGUUGCACUUUUAUAAGGGUGCUUACCAUGAAAUCCAUGAGAACUUUUACCCUGAUGAGCACUGUCAGCUGCACUGUGUCUGUGUGGGCCACAACAGAGUGCAAUGUAACAACCACACACGUCCAAAUGGAACAAAAUGUGCCAUCCAAGAUGGCCACAGGGCCUGACAUACUUCACAGCCUGUUAAAUGCACAGUCAUGGGUGGCAGGCACUUUAGGACCUAUGAUGGACACAGCUUUGACUUUAAUAUCGGAAGAUGUCGUUAUGUUCUGGCCAAGGUUUGUGACAGGGAAGAGUCAGAUCCCACUGUUAUCAUCCAGCAAGGACAGCUGUACUUCAGGGUGACAUUCAAGAUGGAGUAUUGGGAGAAAGUAAAGGUAAACAGUUGUACAUUUACAAGCAAACUGUUUAGUGUGCCUUUAUUUGUAAUUUAGCAUUUUUAGAUUGAUGGUGUUUUGAGAGGUCUGCCUGUCCAGCUGGAUCACAAAAAUAAUAGUGAUGUUUCCAUCUUUGUAUCUUCCUGGUCGCUUUCAUCAGCUGGAACAAAUUGCUCUGAAGAAAGUGAUCUCUGUUCAGAGUGCAACUCUACCAUGGCAGCUGAAUUUGCAUCUGAUAACCUCUGUGGCAUGCUAUCUGCUCCUGCAGGUUCAUUUCGUGGAUGCCACUCCACUGUGGACCCAGAACCCUUCUUUCAGAACUGUGCAAAUGACUUGUGUAUGUCUAAUGCAGUAGUUUGAAGGAGUACACUUUUGCAUGCCAGGAUGCAGGAGUUAAGGUCAGACCAUGGAGGGGUGAAAACUGUGUGCUCUUAUGCCCUGAAAACUCUCACUACAAUAUAUAUGUCAGUGGCGUGCCCUGAGUCCUGUGGUAUUUUAUUCGAUAUCCCUUGCCCACGGGCCUGUUAUGAGGGUUGUCAAUGUGACUCUGAAUACAUGCAGCGUGGAAAUGGCUGCAUCAAAGCUGAGAAAUGUUGUUGCUUCUACCAUGGGUACUACUAUGAUAUUGGGGAGAUCUCGGGGGCUGAGGGAUGCUCCGAGCAGUGUAACUACUCCACUCCACACGCCACCAUGAGUUGUGAGCCAGCGUCUUGCCCCGAGGGACAGCGCUGCACCCUGAACAAUACCUGGGGCUGUGCAAGGACAGCUGAAAAAGAUCAAAUCUGUGAGAAUGGAGAGACUUGUGUUGUCCAGAGCCAACCUCAAGAAUCCCAGUGUUGGGUACUGGGAGGCUCCCACAUCUACACUUUUGAUGAAAAAGCAUUUGAUUUUGCAAGGAAACUGUACCUUCACACUGAUGCGUAUAUUGGAUGACAACAUGGGGAAUAAUACAUUUUGGGUCAGGAUACAGAAAGGCAGGACUCCCAAUGAGGAUUCCUCUCUAAAAGCUGUUCAUGUCCAAGUAGCUAAAGACAAAAGUGCUAUCUACAGAGGGGAAAAAGGCUAUGCUUGGAACCUCACAGGGUGAGGCUGUUGAUGCUACCACCUUUGGCUGGAGCUGGAGAGUUCCUGAUCAGGAAGCUCACUGUACAGCAGAUUGUGGAGAUUCAUGCCCAUGCUGCUCUGCUGAAGAGCUAAUAGAGAAAAAUGGAGCUUGUCAAUGGUGCUCCCAGCAAGAGUAUGUUUUGUCACCACAAAAUCCAUUUUGCCUGUGCCAGGAAGUUGUUAACUACACAAAAUUCUCCACAUUUGUGAACAUAUUUGACCUGUGCUCUAGUAAUAACCUUCAGAAGGCCCAAUGUUGGAGGCCUAUGCUGCUGCCUGCCAAAAUGCCCGGAACCAGAUUGGAGAGUGGAGGAACAGCACCUUCUGCCAUAAGCAAAUUUGUGUUACUGCAGCUUCUGCAUCCUGGCUUGUGUAGAGACCUGCCAAUGUGACCCAGGGUUCGUCCUGGGUGGUGCCACCUGUGUUUCCUUGUCCCACUGUGUCUGCACUCUCAAUGGCGACCAUUACCACAACAACCGGACCUUUGGGUCUGAUGACGGAUGCACUGAACGGUGCGUUUGUGACCCCCACACCAACCAGCUGCAGUGCCAAUCGGAUUCUUGUGACUCAGAUGAAUAUUGCGGUCUUCAAGAUGGAGUCAGAAGCUGUGUGGCGCACACCCAGCAGACGUGCAUGUAUACCGGUCAUCACCUUUGACCAGCAUGACUAUGAUUUCCAUGCGUGGGCAGAAACAAGGCAUUGAUACCAUUCAGGUUGACGUACGGACAGAUGGACACCUAGAAUAAGCACUUCAUGUCCUGGUCAAUGUGAGUGGUGUGCUUGUGAAGCUAAACAGUAAAAACAUUGAAAGAGGUAAAAGACAGAGGUUGAUGGUGUCAAGAAAAACAUGCCCCAUCAAUUCAGCCCAGCUGCAGCGGCUUUCUCUUUUGGGGCUGCGCACUUCCAUCAACACAGAUCUCAGCUUUGAAUUUAGUCUGAGCACAGAGGGCAUAGCAGGCAUUAGUCUCACCAGUAAAAAUGCUAAUGCUACUUUUGGCCUGUGUGGUAACUUCAACUCUGAUCCUGCUGAUGACCUCACAGCAACAUUUUGGAAAACAAUGGAGAAGUGGGCAGAUUCUUGGUGUGUGGAGGACUGUCUAGGAAGAAGUUGUCCAAAAUGUUCAUCUGAGCGUCCGGCCCGCUUCUCUGACCCGGAGGCUUGUGGGAAGAUUCUGGAAAUUAAUGGACCAUUCACACACUGUCAUGGCAAAGUGGACCCCUCCAGCUUUUAAAAGCAUGCAUCACUGACCUGUGUCUUUAUGGAGGUCUCCAGCCUGCACUAUGUCACUCCCUGAGUAUACUGCUGUCUGCCUUUCCCACAAGGCUUCGGUUUAUUCCUGGCGAAGUCCUGUUUUCUGCUGAUUCUGAGUGUUAAUGUGCUCCGAACUCUGUUGUGCAAGUGAAUUAAAUUUAAUAUUCUCUA